CGGGCGUCGGAAGACCAGAAGGGCUUCCCGGGAUCGGGGCCGUCCGGCCCCGCGACAUCCSCCGUGCCCGACGCAUUUGUCUCUCGUCCGAAGGACGCUGCAGCCGACGGGGCAUCGAAAACGUGACGGCCUGAAGGCCGGGAGCCGGCAGGUGGCCGGUGGCCCUCCCCGGAGGCGUCGCCGGUUGUUAGCCGUCCCGGCGGUGGCUCGUCGCCCCGUCGAGGUGUCACGAGGCCCUCAUGGGCCUCCUCGUCUCCUCCUACCAAGGCAGUCGGGACAGAAGGUCGCAAGCGCAGCCCGCCGUGCCGUCGCACCCCUCCGGGGUGGUCGGCCGAACGGGAGGCGCCGUUGGCGGCCGCGGGCCCGUCGGAGGCUGGAGGCUGGCAGCGAGUAGGUCGGUCACCCACCCGACCCGUCUUGAAACACGGACCAAGGAGUCUAACAUGUGCGCGAGUCAGUGGGUCUUGAAUAGGCCCACGGGCGCAAUGAAAGCAAAGGYCGGCCUCGCGCCGACCGAGUUGGGAUCCCCCGGUUUCGCCGGGGGCGCACCAACGACCCGUCCUAUCCGGCUCGCCGGUUGGGCGGAGUGUGAGCGUACACGUUGGGACCCGAAAGAUGGUGAACUAUGCCCGGACAGGACGAGGCCAGAG
rnacentral:rRNA from 1 species